UACUUUUUUGGGUCUUUGCUGAUUAUUACUAGGCUCAGUAGAAAACAUAAGACAACUAGUGUCUCAAAUAUUGAAAAUAGGCAGUAAUAUAAAGCACAUUCUUUUCUGAGAUUAUCUGAUAAUAGAAACAAAGUUGGCUGAACUCCUUCGGUAGCAGAAUAAAACACUAAACAAACUUAUCGGGAAAACAGGACAUCAUUGACAUUUCAAGGCAAAUCCUCUUAAAUAAGGUCAAAGUAUUUUGUAAAUAAUAUCUUGUAAGUAAUAAUACAAAAAGGCAAUAUAGUUCUAAAAUUUUGUUUCUAUAUACCACAAAACAGUAAGUUAAAUGCAAAAUAAUGCACCCAUUUUUCUGGUGAUUAUCCUUUAUCAGUUUUUUACAUAGCUUUAAAGGAGAAAGAAUUUCUAAACUACAUUCUCAAAUGCAAUAUAGACUAAAAAGCAUAAAGUGCUCAACAGAAAAAAAUACACUAAACAAAUUGUGAAAAUUUUUGCAUAUUAACAAGCUGAGUGGUUAUAAAGGACCAUUGGAAACUAAUGCCUUACUAAGCUUUCCACCCAAGAAUGCAACCUUAGAAAUCAAGACAAGAUGUGAUGGACUGCUCUUAGAAGGCAAAAGUACUGCUAAACAUAGAGGAAAACCUUUUCCCUUUCAGCUGCUGAUUUUUCUUACAGAAAAG